ACUCCUACGGGAGGCAGCAGUGGGGAAUAUUGCACAAUGGGCGCAAGCCUGAUGCAGCCAUGCCGCGUGUGUGAAGAAGGCCUUGGGUUGUAAAGCACUUUCAGUCGUGAGGAAGGUAGUGUAGUUAAUAGCUGCAGUAUUUGACGUUAGCGACAGAAGAAGCACCGGCUAACUCCGUGCCAGCAGCCGCGGUAAUACGGAGGGUGCGAGCGUUAAUCGGAAUUACGUGGGCGUAAAGCGCAUGCAGGUGGUUUGUUAAGUCAGAUGUGAAAGCCCGGGGCUCAACCUCGGAAUAGCAUUUGAAACUGGCAGACUAGAGUACUGUAGAGGGGGUAGAAUUUCAGGUGUAGCGGUGAAAUGCGUAGAGAUCUGAAGGAAUACCGGUGGCGAAGGCGGCCCCUGGACAGAUACUGACACUCAGAUGCGAAAGGCGUGGGAGCAAACAGGAUUAGAUACCCCUGGUAGACUGUC
rnacentral:rRNA from 1 species